GGCCCUUUGGCCAAGUGGUAAGGUGUUCUCCUCCGGCGGCGCCCGUCGGCGCAGGCGAGAGAAAGAUCGCAGGUUCAAUCCCUGCAAGGGUCG